AGAAAAAUAAGCUAACAAAGCUAGUGGGUUCAUACCCCAUUUAUAGGGGUUUUAAUCCCCUUUUUUCUA
rnacentral:tRNA from 1 species